GACGAACGCUGGCGGCGUGCCUAAUACAUGCAAGUAGAACGCACAGUUUAUACCGUAGCUUGCUACACCAUAGACUGUGAGUUGCGAACGGGUGAGUAACGCGUAGGUAACCUGCCUGGUAGCGGGGGAUAACUAUUGGAAACGAUAGCUAAUACCGCAUAAUAUUGAUUAUUGCAUGAUAAUUGAUUGAAAGAUGCUAUUGCAUCACUACCAGAUGGACCUGCGUUGUAUUAGCUAGUAGGUGAGGUAACGGCUCACCUAGGCGACGAUACAUAGCCGACCUGAGAGGGUGAUCGGCCACACUGGGACUGAGACACGGCCCAGACUCCUACGGGAGGCAGCAGUAGGGAAUCUUCGGCAAUGGACGAAAGUCUGACCGAGCAACGCCGCGUGAGUGAAGAAGGUUUUCGGAUCGUAAAGCUCUGUUGUAAGAGAAGAACGGGUGUGAGAGUGGAAAGUUUACACUGUGACGGUAUCUUACCAGAAAGGGACGGCUAACUACGUG
rnacentral:rRNA from 1 species